ACUUGCUUAUCAAAUACCCUGUGCUACCAAGCAAGGUAAGCCUGUUCUUCAACAACAGAAAUGCACUGCUGCUUAUAAUUGGUACGAACAGAGUGGCUUUAGCCAGUCCAGGGUCCAAGAGAAAGGUGGUGUGAAAUCACAGGAUAUUAUAAGCUUGCUGUCUGCAGCUCAACAUGAAUAUGACAAAGAAAAAGGAAAGAUUCAAAACAAAGGCAUACAGAAAGUGACCAAAGAAGAAAUCAAAUAUCCAAAAGUUAGUCAGUCAAAUAAUUGUGUUUUUGUUGGAAAAGUAAAAGUGAGACAUCCUAAGCAAACAAAUGUUGAUUCUAAAGAAGUAUACUCUCCUAGCACAACACCAUUAAGUGUUGCAACAUUAUUUGCUCAGGCAUAUCAAAGCCAACAAAUCUGUUCAGAUCUUAGUUCAGAAAAACAAAAUAGUAAAGUCACUUUGAGUAAAAGUGACUUAAAGAAGUCUUUGCAUUCUGAGAGUGAUCCUACUCUCAUUUAUAGCACAGAACAGUCGGCUGGAUGUACUGGAAGAGUUCUUAAUGAGCUGCUGUCAAAUUUGUGUGACCCUAAAAAAUUGUCUUCAAAACAGCAGAAGUCUGGAUCUGAACAAAUGUCAAUUGCUAAUGGCUCUCUUCAUUUCUCUCUUUCAACUCAGAGCUUGGAACAAGAACUAAAAAAAAAGCUAAAGCUAAUUUCAAAAUCUGGUAAUAUGGAAGAAUCAAGUCACAAGACUCUUACUAAAGAACAAGAACUAAAAAAAAGCUAGAGCUAAUCUCAAAACCAGAAAAUACAAAAGAAUCAAACCAAAAGACUCCUUCACCUGCCCCUGUGCCUUUCAAAAGUCCUAUUUUAUCCUCUCAACCAACUUUACUUUCAAAUUCUAUUUUGUCAAAGUUUUCAACCAAGUCAUCAGUAAAAAGUCCUUCAGUUUCACUUCUGACACCAGUUAUGUUUGAACAAGCCCCAGACAAAAUUUUUGCUCCUGCAGAGCCUAGUACUUUCUUAUCAUGCAACAGUGAUCCUUUACACAAGCAAUUUUCCAAGACAUUUGUCUUGAUGACAUCCUGUCCAGCGAGUCUUCCAUUACUUCCACCUGAAGCUUUCAUAAAACCAUCAUAUACAGCCAGCUGUGACUCGGUAACAAAGGAAGAAGAUUAUCUUACUGACUUUCCCCAAGAUAUCAUUCCCCUGACUAGAAGCCAGCUAAAGGGGGCAUUGAUGUAUCUGUUAAAGCAUGAUCAAGAUUUUGUCAACAGUCUAUACAAAGCAUAUGUUCUGAGCCUACAAAUGAAUUAUAAAAAAUCCACAUGAGACAAAACUAGUAUAUUUUCCUAUAUGUCUUGUCUUUGUUUUAGACAGUUUUUGCCUGUGAUGUUCAAGAUAUCUCGCACCUCGUGUGAACAUUUAAACACUCUUAUUAUUGUAAGUCAGGGUUGGGAAAAGCUUCCACUUAGUGUUUGGUUUAGUUUAUCAAACAAGUUGCCAAAACUGUCCAAACUCAAUGUCAUCUAAUGUUUUUAGUUGAAACUGAAUCAAAAAGUUUUAUAAAAGAAAUGUGAUACAAGUAAUGGCUAUUUAUUAUCCCGGAAUACAGCUUGGAAAAGUGUUUUUCUGUUUUAACUGGUAUGUUAGUUUUCCAUUAUUCAAGUUUGAUAUGAACGGCUAUCCUAAGAAUGAAUAAUGGAGUUUAAUAGUGGUAUUCAUCUUGAGUUAAGGUUUAUAUGGAUGCAUUCUAGCCAAAGGCAUAAUCUUUGGAUUAUUGUUCCUUUAUAUAUUUUUACAAAUAUUAGUCAUAUGUAAACAUUUUUAACAAUAAUUUAUAAAUUAUAAUGCUAAUCUCAAACUGGGAUCUUUUCUUUGUAACAUUUGAUCCCAUCUCAGUUUCUCAAAAAUUUUCCCUUUGAGUUUAAGUUAUGAUGAUGUAAUAAGAGGUGUAUAGCUUGUAGUUAUCUGUGACAUUCUCAACAUUUUGUAGACAAAUGAUGUAACUUCUAUGACAGUGUUUUCUGACAAAAAAAAACCAGUAGGUUUAGAUUUUUCUAGUCAAACAGUACUUUAUGUUAGUUGCCUGUUUGAACACAAAGUGUGGUGAAAAGUGGGCACUUUUAACAUAUAGGUACUGAAGAAAAAAAAAGUAGAUUUGGGUGUAAUUAUUAGGAAUUUUGUUUAAAUGUGUUUUUCUUUUUCUCAUUAUUUAUAUUGCUGUAUGUACUAUUGAAUGUUGAAACAUGCAUAAUAUUGUUUGUGUGUAUAACCAUUUUAUGAACAGUAAUUCCUGUUGAUAUUAUUGUAGAAUUAUUAAUAAUAAAUUUGUUAUGGAGAAGUUUUCCAUGAUUGUAUGUCAUGAAAUUAUUUGAUUAAACAAAUGUUAAAUUGGACUGUUGAUUCUACAACAAUACCAACAGUAAUUAACACGUGUGUUAACACAAAUGUUUUGUUAAUAUGAUUUCUUGCAACACAUUUUCGAAUAUAAUUCCAUAAAAGGAACAAAAACUUUUGUGUAUAAAUUUGUUUAAUGAUUUUCCAUGCACACUUAUUAAAGACUUUAUAACAAGAUACAGAAGCGGGUGAUUUAUCGAAGAAAUAAACAGAUUUGAAAACAUCCGUAGCUAGAGUAUGUAGUUGAUUAUAAUAGUAUACACUGUGGUAGUUAUGAUAAGACGCAUGUUUAUAAAUCUGUUUGUUCUGAUUUUAUUCAGCAGUAACUUACUGUUAUAAUAACUGAUACAAUCGAAUGUUUGAGAGAUGAACAUUGAGUUUGUCACUAUCAAACUGGAGGAGUCGGUGUACCUCACUUGGAGACUGACAUAAGUUAUGAUAAGAGGCAUGUUUAUAAAUCUGUUUGUUCUGAUUUUAUUCAGCAGUAACUUACUAUUAUAAUAACUGAUACAAUCGAUUGUUUGAGAGAUGAACAUUGAGUUUGUCACUAUCAAACUGGAGGAGUCGGUGUACCUCACUUAGAGACUGACAUAAGGCACGUUUCAUUAUGAUAUUAUUACAUGGUGUAUAUACAGUUACUGCUGUUCAUGUGCAUAAAAGAAAUGUAUAUAUUUUAUUAAUAUAUACUAUAGUUGCUGCAUAGAUAAAUGACUAUUUUGGGGCACAAAAUAAUCAUUAUUUUGUAAAAUUAGUUUGCUUUAAAGAUUAAUGAGAAAUCAAGAUAAGACUUGUGUUACCAAAGAAAAAAGCCCAUCACGUAAAAUAGCCUAUCUCCAUUACAGUGUACUUGUCUGUAGAAUUACAUUGGGGAAUGAAAAUAUUUAAUAAACUAGUUUUACAAAGUCUGUUUCAGAAGUAUGUGUUGUAAAAAUAAAAAAACAAUCCUAGUUAUAAAGUGUUGUUAUUUAUAUAAUUAUUUCAAGGGAUUAUUUACUUGUGUACAUAUAUAGACACUGUAUAUAUUUCAAAAAUUUGUGGUUUACGAAAUAGGCCUUUAAAAUUUUAUAAACAAUUACAACUGUUGAAAAUCUUAGCUUCACAAAAUGUACAUUAUUGUUCCAGUUUAAAGUUUUAAAGGAAGCUGUUAUCUGAGGAGAUAAGAGUUCAAGUUGUUAUAAAACUUUCCACAUACUUUAAAUAACCAGUUCAUAUUUGUGUAGAAAGUGUAAUGAUUUUCAAGUCAUAUAUAUUUCCAAAAAUUCUGUUUACUAACUGAGUUGCAAAAGUAAGUUCAACAAAUUUAGAGAAUGAUUUUUUUAUGUUAUUUAUUUGUUUCCAAAUUGUGAGAUCAAAGAAAAGUUUCAUGUUUAGAAAAGGACUGAUUAUGUAUAAAUUUAAAGCUCUGUAAUUAUAUUUUAGUAUGAUUUGUGAUAGCAUAUUUCCUAUAAAGGCACUGACACAAGUUUUGGAAAUAUUUUUUUUUAUAUGAUUCAUUACAAUGUGUCUUUGAAUAUAAUUCCUUGUUAUUUUAAAUCAAUUUAAUGAAAUCACUGAGUGGGCUGUACACACAGAAGAUAGGGAACUCUAGUAAUUUAAUCAAAUUUUGGACUCACUCGUUAAACUUGCUUUGGUGCCUUUAAUUGUGUAAGCUAUUUGUCCAUUAUUUGUAUUAUUGUUAUACUGGUUAUUAAGAUGACAGUCAAAGAAAGAAAAACUUAAUUGUAUAUGGUUCUAUAAAAAAUGAAGUACAAAGAAAUAUUCAAAAUAGAUAGAAGUUUGAUUUCUAGGUAAAAUACCUCUUGUGAUAGUAAAUUUAUAUUUUAAAUUAUAAUAUACAAGCUUGGUGUUCUAAUCAGCUGUUGCUAAAUAGAUUAACCUGCACUUUGUUGAUGAUUUUGAAUUAAAUAGUAAAUAUGUGAAUAGGGAAUUUAAUUUGGUAACAAAUCUUUAAAACUUAUUGAAUUCCUUGGAGUAAUCAAGCUUCCAAACUACCAAAAACUAAAGUACAGUAUGGUCUCGAUGCUUAUAAUAUUAAAGAAUUAUUGUUUUUUUUGGUGUACUGAUUCGUGUUGAAAAACUGUAAAAGUUUGUCAAAAAUCACUGCAUUAUUUUUAUAUAUAACUAUAUUUUCAUUAAGUUGAUGUCUCAGAAGUAUGUGAAUGAUAUCCAUAGGUUGUGAAUUUAUUUAUUUUAUUUUUUCUUGUAUUGGUUUUCUUUUUGUGUACAUGACACAAACAACCCCACAUUGUUGUUGUACUGUUUGUAGAAUCUAAUGAGCAAUGUGCUGUUAAAAUAUUCUCUUUAAUAAAACUUACCUGACAUCAAACGUUUAUUUUCAGCAAGAAUUUUCUUCGUUGCAAUAAAUAUGAUUACACAUCAUUGUUUCAGAUUUGUUCAAAGAAAAUUAUUACACAUCAUUGUUUGUUUCAGAUUUGUUCAAUGAAUAUGAUUACACAUCAUUGUUUGUUUCAGAUUUGUUCAAUGAAUAUGAUUACACAUCAUUGUUUGUUUCAGAUUUGUUCAAUGAAUAUGAUUACACAUCAUUGUCUAUGUUUCAGAUUUGUUCAACGAAUAUGAUUACACAU